AAAUCAUAAAAUAUCAGUUCAUACAAUGUUGAUGGUAUAGUCCAUGGUCACCUGACCCUCUUAAGCGCGCCACCAAGCGCUAUUUAUAGUGUGUCCAGGAAGUGCCUCAGUUUGGCCCAUGCCUGGAGGCAACCAGAGGCAGCAGCAGCAGCCUCCUCCACACUCUCAGUAAAGAGUAACUGCGAAUUGGAUUUCUCUUGUGGAGGAAGUCACAAACUCACUUUGAUGUUCCGUCAUUGAGUUACCCUGCAUGAAUGCAAUCCAGCAACCCAGGGAAGAAGAGAAGAGAGUAUAUACCAAAGGGAUGAGGAGGAUGUCCUGCAGGAUGAUUAAGAAUUCCCUGCUGGCUGCUGGCUGCUGCAUUAGUAUGGAUGCUGAGUAGGUGAAAGUCCUCUCUUGAUGCUGUGACCCUCAACUGCUGUCAGGAACUGAUUCAACCUUUCACUGCUGUGAUCGUGAAUCUGCUGCUGUAUGAACUGAAGAUAAGGGCUCUCAUAUGGAUACACGGACACCUGGGAUGCUGGAUCAUCACAGCUCAGGGAUGCAUACACUGUCUGAUCACAUCCUCUGCGGCUCAUGUGAAGGCUGCCAACGUGACCUGACUCUGAAGCUUGGGUUUGUGCUGAGACAUUGUUUGUGUGCUGUAUGGCAUCACUAUGCAUGGACAUUUCUGCUGGGGGGAAAUAUCAGCGGGCGGGUCAGGGAUGGAGAAUUGUUUUGUUUGCUUUUAUGGGUUCAUGUGAAUGUCAGUGAAUGUUAGUGCAGUGGGAUGAAUGACAAUCCGCCUCCUCCUGCACUCUGAUGUUUUCUUCACUCUGACCCUACAGUGUUGACAAAAUGGAAAUGAUCAGGGUGUAAGGCAGAUGAUGCAAAGCGUCAGUGGAAUAAUGUGAAAGCUAUCAGAGUAAUGAGGUGACACUGAGGCUCGACCCCUCUUCAUCUGUCUCUAUUUGUCUGUGUUUCCAGCAGCCAUCAGCCAGCGCUUUUCAUUUCAUGUUCUGAUGUGAUAGUUAAUUUCCACACUACUGCAUCCAUGGCUGGAAGAAAUACUCAGAUACUUUACUGAGGUAAAAGUAGUAAUACAUCAAUGUAAAGAUAAGUUUAUUGCUAUAGUUGCAUUUGAAAGUUUAUUU